GAUGAACGCUAGCGGCAGGCCUAAUACAUGCAAGUCGAGGGGUAGAAGAGGCUUGCUUCUUUGAGACCGGCGCACGGGUGCGUAACGCGUAUGCAACCUACCUUCAUCUGGGGGAUAGCCCGGAGAAAUCCGGAUUAAUACCGCAUAAAAUCACAGGAUGGCAUUAUCCAAUGAUCAAACAUUUAUGGGAUGGAGAUGGGCAUGCGUGUCGUUAGCUAGUUGGCGGGGUAACGGCCCACCAAGGCGACGAUGACUAGGGGAUCUGAGAGGAUGGGCCCCCAAACUGGUACUGAGACACGGACCAGACUCCGACGGGAGGCAGCAGUAAGGAAUAUUGGUCAAUGGAGGCAACUCUGAACCAGCCAUGCCGCGUGCAGGAAGACUGCCCUAUGGGUUGUAAACUGCUUUUAUUCGGGAAUAAACCUUAUUACGUGUAAUAAGCUGAAUGUACCGAAGGAAUAAGGAUCGGCUAACUCCGUGCCAGCCGCCGCAGUAA
rnacentral:rRNA from 1 species